ACCUCGUGAUUGGGAUAUUUCAUGAGUUUUUCUUUGAAUCUUUCCCACACUUCAUAUAAGGGUUAUCCAUUCAAUUGCCUAAAGUUGAUGAUCUCAUCACGCAAUU
rfam:Capsicum annuum cultivar Zunla-1 chromosome 4, whole genome shotgun sequence